rnacentral:ncRNA from 2 species
ACAUUUGCCCACGUAAUUGGUUCCCGGUUGUCAUAAGCCGGGAUGAAAAGGGAAGCCGGUGAAAAUCCGGCGCUAUCCCCGUAGCUGUAAAAACCCCUGGACAUUCCAGGAAGAUCAACCUGAUACUUAUGCCACUGUUUCAUUAACGGGAAGGCUUUCAGGUUAGGUUUAAGCCAGAAGACCUGCCAGUUACCUUAAUCUAAU